rnacentral:rRNA from 1 species
GAAUUCAUCUCCGGGGGUAGAGCACUGUUUCGGCUAGGGGGCCAUCCCGGCUUACCAACCCGAUGCAAACUGCGAAUACCGGAGAAUGUUAUCACGGGAGACACACGGCGGGUGCUAACGUCCGUCGUGAAGAGGGAAACAACCCAGACCGCCAGCUAAGGUCCCAAAGUCAUGGUUAAGUGGGAAACGAUGUGGGAAGGCCCAGACAGCCAGGAUGUUGGCUUAGAAGCAGCCAUCAUUUAAAGAAAGCGUAAUAGCUCACUGGUCGAGUCGGCCUGCGCGGAAGAUGUAACGGGGCUAAACCAU